rnacentral:rRNA from 1 species
AACGAACGCUGGCGGCGUGGAUAAGACAUGCAAGUCGAACGGGACAGGUAGCAAUAUCUGUCUAGUGGCGAACGGGUGCGUAACACGUGGGCAACAUGCCUGGAAGAGCGGGAUAGCCCGGGGAAACUCGGAUUAAUACCGCAUGUGACAACGGGGCGGCUUCGCCCUGUUUUCAAAGGUGGGGACCGCAAGGCCUGCCGCUUCCAGAUUAGCCCGCGUCCUGUCAGCUAGUUGGCGGGGUAAAAGCCCACCAAGGCGACGACGGGUAGCUGGUCUGAGAGGCCGACGAGCCACACUGGAACUGAGAAACGGUCCAGACACCUACGGGUGGCAGCAGUCGAGAAUCUUUCACAAUGGGGGAAACCCUGAUGGAGCGACGCCGCGUGGAGGAUGAAGGUCUUCGGAUUGUAAACUCCUGUCAUGAAAGAACAAGCGAUGCGGGUGAACAGCCCGCAAAGUUGAUAGUAUUUCAAGAGGAAGGGACGGCUAACUUCGUGCCAGCCGCCGCGGUAACAC